AGCAGCCGCGGUAAUUCCAGCUCCAAUAGCGUAUAUUAAAGUUGUUGCAGUUAAAAAGCUCGUAGUUGAAUUUCGAGAUCGAUUUGUCGGUCGUGCCUCGGUACGUACUGGCGUUAUUGAUUUCUCCCUUCUGAAGAACCGCGAUGUCAUUAAUUUGGUGUCGUGGGGAAUCAGGACUGUUACUUUGAAAAAAUUAGAGUGUUUAAAGCAGGCGCACGCUUGAAUACAUUAGCAUGGAAUAAUGAAAUAGGACGUUUGAUUCUAUUUUGUUGGUUUCUAGGAUCGACGUAAUGAUUAAUAGGGAUAGUUGGGGGCAUUAGUAUUCAAUUGUCAGAGGUGAAAUUCUUGGAUUUAUUGAAGACUAACUACUGCGAAAGCAUUUGCCAAGGAUGUUUUCAUUAAUCAAGAACGAAAGUUAGGGGAUCGAAGACGAUCAGAUACCGUCGUAGUCUUAACCAUAGACUAUGCCGACUAGGGAUCGGAUGAUGUUAAUUUUUAAUG
rnacentral:rRNA from 1 species